AGGGGGUUUAUCCCCUAAAUAGGGCUUUGGCCCCUGGGACCAGGGUUCGAAUCCCUGCCCGGCUA
rnacentral:tRNA from 1 species